CAAUAGCGUAUAUUAAAGUUGUUGCGGUAAAAAAGCUCGUAGUUGGAUUUCUGUUGAGAGCGACCGGUCCAUACCAUGUAUGCGUAUCUGGCUUGCUCUCGGCAUCCUCUCGAUAGACGUUACUGCGCUUGAUUGCGUGGUGCGGAUCUCGGGACUUUUACUUUGAGGAAAUUAGAGUGUUCACGGCAGGCUUUCGCCAGAAUACAUUAGCAUGGAAUAAUACUAUAGGAUCUUGGUUCCAUUUUGUUGGUUUCUAGAAUUGAGAUAAUGAUUAAUAGGGACAAUUGGGGGCAUUCGUAUCAACACGUCAGAGGUGGAAUUCUUGGAUUGUGUUGCGACGAACUACUGCGAAAGCAUUUGCCAAGGAUGUUUUCAUUGA
rnacentral:rRNA from 1 species